CAGGUGACAAGCUGAUUAAGUGAUUUAGUCGGGGAUUUGUCGAGUAGUUGCUGCAGCCAUUUUGAGGAACCAUUCAGGAAGAGGAAGAAGAGGGGCUAGAAAUACGUCCAAUGCUCGAGGUAAUAGGAACGGGGAAGUUCCAAAUUUUGCGGAUAUGAUGAGGAUGAUGACUGAGACUAUAACGACGGCGAUGAUAAAUCAGACUGACGCCAUCACUGCUGUCUUUCUGAACCAGAAUGAGAAUCACAAUGCGCCACCGCCGCCUCCGCCAGGUGGGAAUGAAAAUAACCAUCAAGGUGGUGGGGCCCAUGCUGAGUGGCUGAAUUUAUUGGAGAAAUUUAUUAAGUUGAAACUGUUAGACUUUUUGUGUUUUGCGCAACAAAUCCCAUAUGGGUAAAGUAAUGUUUGUUUAGAUUAAGUUAAGUCGGAUUAGUCUUAAUCCACAUUAAGGCAUGUUUAUGGUUUUAAUCAUGCACUAAAGACUAGCUUAAGGUUAAUGCUAGAUAAGGUUGAGUCAAAGCAUGACAUGUCCUUUAGCUUGACAUGUCAUAUGUGUUGUCCAAUGUAUCCAUGAGGUGUCCUCCAACUCAUGAUGGAAAGGUUAGAGUGACAUGUGGCAAGCAUGACUAGGACUCACUUCUAGCCUCAUAAGUUUUAUAAAGGAAAAUCUGUUUUCAUCCAUCAUUAAGUAAUGUGAGGAAAUAGAAGUUGAUAAUAAGUCAUGAA